AGAGCUGGUGUCCACCGUUGAUGAGAAACAAUCAGAGGGUGUAAAAACGAUUAGAAAUAUAGGAGUUGAACAUUCGACAUUGGACAUAGACGGAGAGUGAAAGAGAAAGGGAUUCAAAUCCAAUUCGCCAUAAUUAAUUCUACUACCUCUUCAAGGUUAGGGUUUUUGAAAAUCGGAUUCGGAGGUAUUAAGGAAUGGCAGGAGAAGGUGCUAUGUUCAAGUUCCUGAGGCCUAGGCUCCGUCCUCAGCCCGGGGACAUCCAGGCCGCCGCUUUGUGGGGCGUCGCCGCCACCACCACUGGUCUUUGGCUGAUCCAGCCUUUUGAUUGGUUGAAGAGGACCUUUUUGGAGAAACCAGAGUCUAAGUAGAAGCGAAUGGGAUGUCACAACUCAUUGUGAUUUUGUUUAUCAGAUUGCUGAUGAGGGAAUCAACAUUUGAAUAAUAAUGUAGUUGUAAUUUUCUGAUUGAUAUUAGUUUUGUGAUGAGAAUGAGUCCACCUUGGCAUUACUUCUUUGGAACUUUGAAAGAAACAUAAUCUUUUUCAGUUUGGGAGUUGAUUCCUGUGUUUCAGGAAUUGUUGGUUGAGAUUCUGCCUGGGAAAUGAAAAUAAAUCAAAAGAGAAAUGGCAUUGGAUAUGAAUGAUUGAACAUGAUCAAAUUCAGACUUA